rnacentral:misc_RNA from 1 species
UCUUCAGAUGAUGAUCCCAAGCCUUCUGGCGAUCUAUGAGAAUGAGCCCCUGUUUGGCUUUUGGAAAGUAUUUUUCCAUUUUGUAAGAUUAUGCUGGGGAAGGUUUUCCGGUUUAUCUCGGAGGGCUUGUAGCUCAGUUGGUUAGAGCGCGCGCUUGAUAAGCGUGAGGUCGGAGGUUCAAGUCCUCCCAGGCCCACCAUUGAUAAGUGCUUGUAGGGUGCUUGUUGUGUGUGGACGUUGAGAGUGUGACGUUUGUCUAUUACGCGUUGAAGAAGUGGAAUUCGGAUUUUCCAUGAGUUUCAGUUAUUUGUUUUUAGGGGCCGUAGCUCAGCUGGGAGAGCACCUGCUUUGCAAGCAGGGGGUCGUCGGUUCA